rnacentral:rRNA from 1 species
AUUGAACGCUGGCGGCAGGCUUAACACAUGCAAGUCGAGCGGAGAUGAGGUGCUUGCACCUUAUCUUAGCGGCGGACGGGUGAGUAAUGCUUAGGAAUCUGCCUAUUAGUGGGGGACAACAUUCCGAAAGGAAUGCUAAUACCGCAUACGUCCUACGGGAGAAAGCAGGGGAUCUUCGGACCUUGCGCUAAUAGAUGAGCCUAAGUCGGAUUAGCUAGUUGGGGGGGUAAAGGCCUACCAAGGCGACGAUCUGUAGCGGGUCAGGGAGGAUGAUCCGCCACACUGGGACUGAGACACGGCCCAGACUCCUACGGGAGGCAGCAGUGGGGAAUAUUGGACAAUGGGGGGAACCCUGAUCCAGCCAUGCCGCGUGUGUGAAGAAGGCCUUAUGGUUGUAAAGCACUUUAAGCGAGGAGGAGGCUACUGAGACUAAUACUCUUGGAUAGUGGACGUUACUCGCAGAAUAAGCACCGGCUAACUCUGUGCCAGCCGCCGCAGUAAAAC